CCUCAAGGCCAGUUUUGAAGUUUGGAGCCCAAGUCUUGGUUAGAAUUCUGUUGUAAUUCCCAGGUGGGGGUUGAAAAUUUUAACUGCCAUAGAGAGAUAUGAGAUUCUGAGCAGUUUCUGACUGACUGGUUUUUGGAUCUGAACUUUGGUCCAAGAAGGAGCAUCUUUCUGGCUUUACCCUGGAUUUACCCUAUGGAAACAUUUUGGGAAUAACUGAGGGGCAGUUGAUCAUUUUGACUGAAGCUCUCUGGGAUCUUAGCUGGUCCCAGAAGCAGUGUCCUUUCUGAGUUUCUCGGUUUUUCCCUGUUACAAUUUGUGAAUACCAGGACUUCAUUGAUCAUGAGAAGAAACCAGAAGAUUUUGUUUUUCUCUGGGCUCUGAAGAAACCCAGAGCCAAAGCUGAACUUCUGCUGGGCUUCAACCAAUUUGCUCUAGCUGCUCUUUUGAUAAUUUGGAGAUAAAGAUUAAGAUGAAUAUAUUAUUCAUAAGUUAUUUAUGGAAAUAGAUUAUUUAGGUUUGGAAUCAAUACCAUAUUUGUGUCAUAAAAAAAUUCGUAAGAAUUUUUCUUUGCUUAUUUUGUCAAAUAAUUUGAAUUGUGCACACCCACACUACAUGGGCAUGUGCUAGUCAAUGACAAAUCAGAAAUAACUAACUGCCCACCUGGUCUGUCCUAAGCCAAGCUUGAGCCACCAUUGGCACUUGUGAGGCACAGGAAAUGAAGAAGGGAACAGCCUCUGGAAUUUGCACUUCCUGUGGACAUAGCUAGGUGUGAGUUCGUGCUAGGAGCUUGAGGAGGGAGGAAGCCCGCAGACAGCUUCCAUUCAGAUCGGUCAUGUGAGUCAAGGACUGAUUUUCUUCUCUACCUUGGCCCUUUAGGCCUAAAUUCCCUCUGGCUCAGCCAGAAGUUUGAGCUAACCAUUUCCCCUUUUCUCCUCUCUCCUUUUCUCCCUCUCCCCUUUUCUUACUCCCAUUGUGAUUAAACCACCAUACAUUCCAUUCUGACUUGAAUGCUUCAUUUAAGGAAUUUCAUGCGUAAAUUCCUUGGCGACCAUAAAUUAAUAUUAUAGCAACUUUUAAAGGUGAUUUUCACCUUAACAGUUAUAGAUGAUCACCCUCCUCUCUGAUAAUUAAGGAAUAAUUGAUCUUUGAAACUCACUUACCUCUAGUAUUCUUGGAUAAAAACAUUUUUACCCAGUCAGGAUUCCUCUGGUGAGCCUUCUCCUUAGAAAUCAAGUUACCCCAAACUUCAAUGCAGAAAAAUAAGAAUAGGAAACUCAUCCC
rnacentral:lncRNA from 1 species